rnacentral:rRNA from 1 species
UACAGAGGGGGCAAGCGUUGUUCGGAAUUACUGGGCGUAAAGGGCGCGUAGGCGGCCUGCUAAGUCGAACGUGAAAUCCCUGGGCUCAACCCAGGAACUGCGUCCGAUACUGGUUGGCUUGAAUCCGGGAGAGGGAUGUGGAAUUCCAGGUGUAGCGGUGAAAUGCGUGGAUAUCUGGAGGAACACCGGUGGCGAAGGCGGGUCUCUGGGCCGAUAUUGACGCUGAGGAGCGAAAGCGUGGGGAGCGAACAGG